UACAGAGGUCUCAAGCGUUGUUCGGAUUCAUUGGGCGUAAAGGGUGCGUAGGCGGCGCGGUAAGUCGGAUGUGAAAUCUCCAGGCUCAACCUGGAGGGGUCAUUCGAUACUGCCGUGACUAGAGUUCGGUAGAGGAGUGUGGAAUUCCUGGUGGAGCGGUGAAAUGCGCAGAGAUCAGGAGGAACACCCGUAGCGAAGGCGGCACUCUGGGCCGAUACUGACACUGAGGAGCGAAAGCGUGGGGAGCGAACAGG
rnacentral:rRNA from 1 species